CAUAUACUCCCUCUGUCAUGAAUUGCUAGUUUUAGAUUUGUUUAGAUACGGAUGUAUCUAGACACGUUUUAGUGUUAGAUAUAUCCUUGUAUAGACAAAUGUAAGAUAAGUAAUUUUGGACGGAGGUAAUACUGG
rnacentral:pre_miRNA from 1 species